rnacentral:rRNA from 1 species
AGGACGAACGCUGGCGGGCGUGCCUAACACAUGCAAGUCGAGCGAGGAGAUUCCUUCGGGAUGAUCCUAGCGGCGGACGGGUGAGUAACACGUGGGCAACCUGCCUCAUAGAGAGGAAUAGCCUUCCGAAAGGGAGAUUAAUACCUCAUAACAUUGCAGUUUCGCAUGGAACAGCAAUUAAAGGAGUAAUCCGCUAUGAGAUGGGCCCGCGGCGCAUUAGCUAGUUGGUGAGGUAACGGCUCACCAAGGCGACGAUGCGUAGCCGACCUGAGAGGGUGAUCGGCCACAUUGGGACUGAGACACGGCCCAGACUCCUACGGGAGGCAGCAGUGGGGAAUAUUGCACAAUGGGGGAAACCCUGAUGCAAGCAACGCCGCGUGAGUGAUGACGGCCUUCGGGUUGUAAAGCUCUGUCUUCAGGGACGAUAAUGACGGUACCUGAGGAGGAAGCCACGGCUAACUACGUGCCAGCAGCCGC